UACGUAGGGGGCAAGCGUUGUCCGGAAUCAUUGGGCGUAAAGCGCGCGUAGGCGGCCCUGUAAGUCCGCUGUAAAAGUCAAAGGCUCAACCUUUGAAAGCCGGUGGAUACUGCAGGGCUAGAGUCCGGAAGAGGCGAGUGGAAUUCCUGGUGUAGCGGUGGAAUGCGCAGAUAUCGGGAGGAACACCAAUGGCGAAGGCAGCUCGCUGGGACGUGACUGACGCUGAGACGCGAAAGCGUGAGGAGCAAACAGG
rnacentral:rRNA from 1 species